GAUGAACACGUCAUGUGUGUUUGCAGUAAUGACACUUGAUCUGACACACACACACACACAAUGGAUUUGGUGGUUUAUGAGGACUCUCCAUAGGCCUAAUGUAAUUUACAGCGGUGGAAAGAGUACUGAACAAUCAUACUCCAGUAAAAGUACCAUCACUUGCUUAAAAAUGUAGUGCAAGUAGAGUAAAAGUAUCUGUGUGAAUGGGGUGUUAGUGUUGUUGCCAUAUUGUAAUGAGACUAUGUCUGGGCACUACAAGUCCCAGCAGGCUUAGCGCCAUGCAAGGAAGUGUUGUUUAUGUGCGGACACUUUAUUUCCUGAUUGCGGCGUAAAUGAACAACAGGUUGUAGAUUGCUCAGCGCUAUAUAAGUGAGUCAAAGUUUGUUUGCCAUUUUGCUGUCGUUGUUGCAUUCUGGUCGCGGCACGUAAAGGCCGAGUCAACACUUCACGUGAGGGGUAGCUGAUGAGCAAACAACAUUUAAUGCUGCCAGAUCUUCAUUGCAAACUUAUUUAAAGAGGUAGUCGUUUUAUAAUUUUAAUAAACCAUUUUUAGUAUUGUGUUUUAAUGAUAUUAUCCUUUUUAUUUCUAGUGCUAUUACGGGAUCAUUGUCUGCUGAUUGUUGCCUGAGUGUCAGCAUGGGAAAUUAAGGAUCUUAGAGGUAUUGUUUAAAACAGAAGGGUUUUUUAUCUCUCUUAAUGCUUGUUUUAUUUAUAGGAUGUUUUAUUCUGUUUGUGAUGUUUAUAUUCUGAGUUUCUGUGUUGUAAUAAACUGUGUUUCCCCUUUUUAGGGAUGCACGGUUGCCUUUUACUUUAGACUUACAAUAAUAUUUUUGUUAUUGAAUCUUUUUUUUUGUUGACUUUUGUUGUAUGCGAAUUUGGGUUGUUCAUUAUGUUGCUAGGUUGACAACAAUUUGUAUUUUCCUUCUUUUGUUAAACUUUUCUUUCUUUUGUAGGUUCUGUUUUGGAUUUGCUUUACCAUCAGUGGCCACUGGGUUCCCUGCACUGUGGAUGGCGGUGGAGAAAAGGUGGUUGGGAUUGUGUGGUGAUUUGGUCACUGUUGAUUUUUGUGUUUUUUAGGUUGCAGUGUGAUUGCUGUGAGCUGAGUGUGGUGAAAACACUGCUGCUUGGGUACCUCAUCUGUCCUCACUUUCUGGGUAACCGGUGGCCAUUAGUGGUUUGUUUUUUUUCUUUUCUUUUAUUUAGUUUAUUUACUUUUUCCUCCUUUUUUGCAAUAAAGAUGGAGACAAUUUGUAUACUACAACUUGUGAAAUAAAAUAUAAUUGUUCUCCUAA